rnacentral:rRNA from 1 species
AUUGAACGCUGGCGGCAGGCUUAACACAUGCAAGUCGAGGGGUAGAGGCUUUCGGGCCUUGAGACCGGCGCACGGGUGCGUAACGCGUAUGCAAUCUGCCUUGUACUGGGGGAUAGCCCAGAGAAAUUUGGAUUAAUACCCCAUAGUCUUCGCAUGUUGACUAUAUUAAAGUUCCAACGGUAAAAGAUGGGCAUGCGUCCUAUUAGCUAGAUGGUAAGGUAACGGCUUACCAUGGCAACGAUAGGUAGGGGUCCUGAGAGGGGAUCCCCCACACUGGUACUGAGACACGGACCAGACUCCUACGGGAGGCAGCAGUGAGGAAUGUUGGACAAUGGGCGCAAGCCUGAUCCAGCCAUGCCGCGUGCAGGAAGAAGCAUCUAUGGUGUGUAAACUGCUUUUGUACGGGAAGAAACACUCCCUCGUGAGGGAGCUUGACGGUACCGUAAGAAUAAGGAUCGGCUAACUCCGUGCCAGCCGCCGCCGUAAUAC